rnacentral:rRNA from 1 species
AUUGAACGCUGGCGGCAGGCCUAACACAUGCAAGUCGAGCGGAUGAAGGGAGCUUGCUCCUGGAUUCAGCGGCGGACGGGUGAGUAAUGCCUAGGAAUCUGCCUGGUAGUGGGGGAUAACGUCCGGAAACGGGCGCUAAUAUCGCAUACGUCCUGAGGGAGAAAGUGGGGGAUCUUCGGACCUCACGCUAUCAGAUGAGCCUAGGUCGGAUUAGCUAGUUGGUGGGGUAAAGGCCUACCAAGGCGACGAUCCGUAACUGGUCUGAGAGGAUGAUCAGUCACACUGGAACUGAGACACGGUCCAGACUCCUACGGGAGGCAGCAGUGGGGAAUAUUGGCCAAUGGGCGAAGGCCUGAUCCAGCCCUGCCGCGUGUGUGAAGAAGGUCUUCGGAUUGUAAAGCACUUUAAGUUGGGAGGAAGGGCAGUAAGUUAAUACCUUGCUGUUUUGACGUUACCAACAGAAUAAGCACCGGCUAACUUCGUG